AAUUCCCCUAUAGUUUGAGCAACCGGCACUAUUGAGGAUUGUAUUUCUUCAAUUUAUGAUCCCUCUAAGUACUACAAUGUACUGGCAAGAAAAAAGGGGUUUAUGAUUCAUCCAUUCUUUCUUUUUCUUCAUCUUCUUAAAUUCUUAAUCUACCAAACCUUGAUUCAAUGAAGGAAAAUUUCUUAUAUGUAUGUGAUGAUGAAGAAAACACUUCAACCGAACCAAACCCCCCACACCAACCCAAACCCA
rnacentral:misc_RNA from 1 species